GAAAAAAAAAGGAUUAAAAUCCAGUUUGAGUAUGGCAUUUGAUAUCCCAGGCAACUUACAUUCUGGUGAAGAGAUUACAAAAGAUGGUGAAACGUCUACAAAUCAAGAAAUUGUUGCGUUUGUGAUCUAAAAGCUAGAAGGUAAUGGUGCGACAUGGGAAACUGUAAAUUUAAUCAUUGUGUCGCAAUUUUCUACAAAUUCGAAGGUUUAAACUUAGCUGCUAUUUUAUGACCAGGUUGAAUAAUGAACAAAUAGCUGUUGUUGUUGAUUACUUUCGUGUCUUUUAGGUGUAAGAGUGAUUAUCUCUUUUUUAUGUUAUAUGCUUCUUCCUGAUUUUAGGUUUAGCUCCAUUCUCUUUUGAGUCUCAUUAAACAUCUACAGGAGAUCAUACAUAAGUGAUGUUAUUUCUUUUUAGAACAAAUUCCAGGAAAAGUGACAGGAAAACAAGCUUGUGAAAGAUGGGUGAAACACAGUACUCUCAGAAUUGCAUGCAUAUGGGUUUAAUUAGGCUAAGGUCAACUUUGAAUUCUUCAUAUAAACAGAGAUGGCAGGAUGAUUCUAAUUUUCAAAAUGAGUUUUUCGGACACUAUGACAUAUUCCAUAGAAGAAAUUGAUGAGAUUCGUGAAACAUGAGCCAAUUAUUUUUUUUUUAUAAUGAA